AUUGUAUUUUAAAUUCCAGUGUAAGACAUAAAAUAUUCAUUUUGGCAAAUUAAAUAUUUUAUUUCAUUAAAAUACAAUUUUUUUACAAAUUUUGCUGAACAAAAAGUGUUUUCUAGAAACAUAGAGAUAAACUAACAAAGAUUUAAAGACUGAUCAAUAUUUACGUAAAUUGUCUAUGUAUUUUUUUGUCUAGCAAGAAUCUCACGGGAUGAAGUAGGUAAAGUGGAGUGUGGACUGUAGGGCAAUCAAAAUUCGCCAUUUUUACUUUAGUGAAGGGAGGUUUAUAAAAUUGUCAGGCUGGAGGACGAAGAAUAUUUUGUAAAAAGUGUGUCUUUAGAUUUAAUUUUUAGUAGCGGAAACUAUUAUUUGAAAAAGUUUUAGUAUAAUAGUGUGGUUUUAUUUAUUACUAACGUUUGUAUGUAGUGCUACUUCCCCAUCGUAAAUUUGCUCGUUGGUGUUUCGCUUUAGCUAAUUCGAUGGCUAUGAUAUCCAAGUUUUAAUCAUAACGCGUCGCUCGACAAUUUCCACUCGGGUAAUAUCGAGAAAGUGAGGCGACGCCUUUAGAAAUGAGCAGGCCUCAGGGCGGACGCAUUCAAGUCCCGGAUGACCUUAGAGAGAUCUUAUUGGAGUUUACUAUAAGUUAUCUGCUGGAGCAGCCUGGGGACGUGAUCAACUACGCGGUCGAGUUCUUCACAAGGUUACAAAACAACAGGACGACGACCAUCGUACGGGGUCCUGUCGCCGGCACACCUGAUGAGUCCAUAAUAUCAGACGAAGAAGAGCCGCCAGUGGCGCGCUUUAACAAUCGGCGCAAAUCCGUUUUCGCCGAGACUUAUGACCCCGAAGAGGAUGAUUCUGACGAAGGAGCCCCUGCCGUGUUCCCCAAGUCGGACGCACAGAGAGCCCGUCUCGCUGAGGCGGUCCGGGGCAUACUGCUGUUCCGUUCUCUUGACGCGCAGCAAAUGCAGCAGGUUCUGGAUGCGAUGUUCGAAAAGAGAUCCGAGCCCGGCGAGUACGUAAUCAGACAGGGCGAUGACGGCGACAACUUCUACGUCAUCGAGAACGGCGUUUUCGACGUCCUGGUCACCGGAGACGACCGCGUCGAAAAGGUGGUCCACACAUACGAAGGUUCCGGUUCGUUUGGCGAACUGGCCCUGAUGUACAACAUGCCGCGGGCGGCAUCUGUACGGGCCCAGACCGCCGGCGCUCUGUGGGCCAUGGACCGCCACACGUUCCGUCGCAUCCUGCUCAAGAGCGCAUUCAAGAAACGCAAGCUGUACGAGGAGCUCCUCGACAAAGUGCCGAUGCUGAAGGCGCUGCAGCCGUACGAGCGCGCUAAUUUGGCCGAUGCCCUGCUGCCCCGGACUCUGGUGGAAGGCGAGCUGAUCAUCCGUCAGGGGGACACGGCCGACGGCAUGUAUUUCGUCGAGGAUGGCUCCGUCAGCAUCCGGAUCACGCGCGACGACGGCAACGAGCACGAAAUCAAACGUCUCGGCAAAGGUGAUUACUUCGGAGAGCUGGCCUUGGUCACCCACAAGCCGCGUGCCGCUUCUGUUUACGCUAUUGGCGCUACCAAGGUGGCGUUCUUGGACGUCGAGACGUUUGAGCGCCUCCUCGGUCCGUGCAUGGAGAUCAUGAAGCGCAACAUCGACGACUACGAGGAGCAGCUCGUCAAGUUGUUUGGGGACAAGAGCAACCUCACCGACGUGCGAUGAACGGCCGACGCGCGAACACGCAACCUCCUAUCUUCCACGCAACGUAAAUCUUCCCGCCUUCACACACACAGCCCCCCCGCCAACGCGCAACGACUAAAUCGGGAUAUACCGUCUUUUCGCAUUAAAAGAUUUCCAAUUUAAUAUUCGAAAUUGAGUUAAUAUAUUUAACGGUAGGCAGCAGCUUGGGCAAGGGCAAUAAAAAAAAUGCGGAAUCAUUUGGUAUCGCCAGUAUUUUUCUAAUAAAUACUGUCAAAAGAGCGUAGUUUAGUUUUAGUUUUUUUUUUUUGUUUUUUUUACCUAUGUUUUGACUACUUACUAUUAACAAAAUUAAAACAAUUUUAUCUUACUUUAAAAAAAAUUAAAAAAAAAUGUUGCAGAGAUUAAAUAUUAAAAAUAUCACAUAUUAAACUUUUAAAACACUCCUGUAAAAUUAGUAAGUUUCGAGAUUAUACAGUUUUAAUGCGAGAAGACGAUAUGUGCUCUUUGAUAACUUAACGUUCUAGAAGUUUCCUAUUCCGACUUGCCUUUCAAAUGAGGCCGCGAAAGUCUUAAUGUUAUUUGAUAAUUCUAGAAGUUUCGUCUCCAUCCGUCAUUCGAAUGAAGCCGUGAGAGUCUAACUAAACAAUAGCUUACAGUAUGUAGGUAACAGCGGUUUUCACAAUUUAAUCAGUGAUGAAUAUAAUAAAAAUUAGCCUCAGAUUUUUUAAUAUUCUCGUGCGUCACCUAUUGUUUCCAAUAAAUAUUUAAAGCAUUACUGAAACAGUUGAUGUAAACAUAAAAAAGAAACGGUUUUAUAUACCUACCCAACAAGUUAAUAACAGGUCGUUUUUCUCGAAAUGUAUUGCAAAAAAUUGGGGUCAUUUGUCCGCUAAAAUGAUUUUUGGCAUCGCAAAAAUUUACAUCUACAGCUUUUUUUUAUAAAAUGCGGAUAUUCUUGACUUUAAUUGACAUAUAUACCGAUUUAGUCGUUGCAUACAUAUACAUAUAUGUAUAUUGUUUUGUUCAAUUAAUGAUCAGACAAUACGGUGUACGAUAUAAAAUGUUUUCAAAUCGCGAACAGUAACACUUAUGGUUUCAUGAAUAUAAGUGAUAAAUACAAAUAAAAAAAUUGACAUGAAAGUUUUAAGGGAAAUGUUAAUAAUUACAAAUGUUGUCUACACUAUAAAGCAACAAGUUUACAGUGCACCGUAUUGUUCGAUUGUGAAUUUUAAAUAAGUUUUGCUGUUUCGAAAAUAUGUCGUUUUUAAUAAAAGAUAUAAGAUUAAGGUUUUGGUUUGUUAAUUGAGUUUACACAAUUUAUCAUAUCGAGACAGCAUAAGCUUAAUAAUCCCUUAAAAUGGCGUGUGAGUCAGCGAGCGACCGGUGCGGUCCCGACACGCAAACAAAAACUUAUGCUUACAAUAAACAUACUAAAAAUAUUAUUAUUAUCGAAACAGUAACGCAUGUUCUUUGGGCGUGCCUACCGCAUAACUCAACCGCUUGGCGUACACGAGAUUAUCGACUUAUUUGCUCAUUAAUAAAAUAUAAAGAUCGUUUCGAAAUCAGUUCCACGAUUUGUCGUUUGAUCUCAAAUUUAAAAAAAAACCAUCGAAAAAAAUUAUAUAUAUAUAUUAUAUAUACCUACAUUAUUAUUUCAAACGGAUUAAGUUUUACUGAUAUAGUAAAAUUGCUGUGGCAUAACACAUGUGACAUAAUCGCGGAUCGAAUUCAAAUGGCUACUUAUUUAUUUGACAGAGAAAACACAUUGUCGUUGGUCGAACGUCGCGCGCUAUUGUAAUGAAUCUACGCUUAUUUUAGAUAGAAAACGUUAGAUAUUUAUAUAUUUGUAAGUCGCACGGACAUAGACGGACUGCGUAUGAAACGAAAUAACAAAGGAUGUGCUCAUUCUAGGUGCCAUAUACAUGAAUACAUGCAAGUCACAAUCGUUUAGUUAAUAGAGUCGUAACAGUUAUCGGAUUUAUCGAUAUUUCGUUUAGUACGAUGCCUUGGGAAUGUCGGAAGUUUACUUAAUGGAAGAGUAAGGGUAAAGAGCGCUAGUUGUAAUAUCAUAAAAUAUAUAUCGAUAUAUAUACAGAACGAUAAUGUGCGACGUUCAACUUUAUUUCUAAUAACCGCGAACUCUAUUAUAGAAAUUCGAUACAUUUAAUUGACGCAGGCUUAUAUCGAGCCAAAUAUGUACACAUACAAAAUAUUUAUUUAUUUGUCUUAGGUAAAGUGUGUAGUUAAUUUUAGUGAUUAGAUUAAAUCUUUUCACGGUACAUGUUUUGUUUUUAUAGUUAUUUUAAUAUUAACCCUGACGAUUUCUUACGAUGUAUGUUGUUUACCGAGUGCUGCCAUGCUAAUGUCGUUUUGAAUUUAUUAAUGGUGUUUUGUUGACUAAUUAUUGUAAACACAUGCCGGAGCACAUAACAUACUUUGAUUAAUGAGAAAACGUAUUUGUUAUUAUUAAAAACAUCAUGUAUUUUAUAGAUUAUUUUAUUUCGCAUAGUAUUUCUAAUAUUUUGUUGUUGGUAUUAAUUUUGUUAUCGACAAGGAAUUGUUUUGUGUUAUCAUUGAAUUUUUUUAUUUUUAUUUAAUUUAUAUUUUUAUUGGUUCUUCUUCUGUUGUAGAGAGUGUUCCUAUUGUUUUGUUUGCUCUUUGACAAUAUGAAAAGUUAGAUCUGAGGUUUGUCAAACACCGGAAACACCGCUGUGACCGACACACGGCUCAACCGUCGAAUACGUUAAGGCGAUGACGUCAACUUUAUGACAUCCCUAACAAUGUUUUGGAGCGAAAGAACUUUGCAUGGCGCCUACAACCGUCAGGUGAGGGGCGCCACGUGUUCACCGCCGUAAUGUCUGUGUGUCCCCAUUUCAUUGAACCCAGUAGUUAUUAGUAUUGUGCAAUAAUAAUAAUUAUAAUAAUAAUAAAAUAUUAUUACUGUCUAUGUAUGUAGUUUGCAGUAUCAAAUAUUUAAAAUUGUAUUUGUGGAAGUAUUAAAGGUAAUUUAAAAAAAAGUAAA